rnacentral:misc_RNA from 1 species
GGUCUGAUUAUGGCUCAGAUUGAACGCUGGCGGGAUGCUUUACACAUGCAAGUCGAACGGCAGCACGGACUUUGGUCUGGUGGCGAGUGGCGAACGGGUGAGUAAUGUAUCGGAACGUGCCUAGUAGCGGGAUAACUACGCAGCGUAGCUAAUACUGCAUACGCCCUUCGGGGGAAAGCGGGGACCUUCGGGCCUCGCACUAUUAGAGCGGCCGAUAUCGGAUUAGCUAGUUGGUGGGGUAACGGCUCACCAAGGCGACGAUCCGUAGCUGGUUUGAGAGGACGACCAGCCACACUGGGACUGAGACACGGCCCAGACUUCACGGGAGGCAGCAGUGGGGAAUUUUGGACAAUGGGGGAAACUCCUGAUCCAGCCAUCCCGCGUGUGCGAUGAAGGCCUUCGGGUUGUAAAGCACUUUUGGCAGGAAGAAACGGCACGGGAUAAUACCCCGUGCAACUGAUUUACCUGCAGAAUAAGCACCGGCUAACUACGUGCCAGCAGCCGCGGUAAUACGUAGGGUGCAAGCGUUAAUCGGAAUUACUGGGCGCAAAGCGUGCGCAGGCGGUUCAAAGAAAGAUGUGAAACUCUGUUUUUAACUUUGGAACUGCAUUUUUAACUACCGAGCUAGAGUGUGUCAGAGUGAGGUGGAAUUCCGCGUAGCAGUGAAAUGCGUAGAUAUGCGGAGGAACACCGAUGGCGAAGGCAGCCUCCUGGAUAACACUGACGCUCAUGCACGAAAGCGUGGGGAGCAAACAGGAUUAGAUACCCUGGGAAUCUACGCCCUAAACGAUGUCAACUAGCUGUUGGGGCCUUCGGGCCUUGGUAGCGCAGCUAACGCGUGAAGUUGACCGCCUGGGGAGUACGGUCGCAAGAUUAAAACUCAAAGGAAUUGACGGGGACCCGCACAAGCGGUGGAUGAUGUGGAUUAAUUCGAUGCAACGCGAAAAACCUUACCUACCCUUGACAUGUCUGGAAUCCCGAAGAGAUUUGGGAGUGCUCGCAAGAGAACUGGAACACAGGUGCUGCAUGGCUGUCGUCAGCUCGUGUCGUGAGAUGUUGGGUUAAGUCCCGCAACGAGCGCAACCCUUGUCAUUAAAGCAUGAAAGGGCACCU